rnacentral:rRNA from 1 species
CUACGGGUGGCUGCAGUGGGGAAUAUUGCCCAAUGGGCGCAAGCCUGAUGCAGCCAUGCCGCGUGUAUGAAGAAGGCCUUCGGGUUGUAAAGUACUUUCAGCGGGGAGGAAGGGAGUAAAGUUAAUACCUUUGCUCAUUGACGUUACCCGCAGAAGAAGCACCGGCUAACUCCGUGCCAGCAGCCGCGGUGAUACGGAGGGUGCAAGCGUUAAUCGGAAUUACUGGGCGUAAAGCGCACGCAGGCGGUUUGUUAAGUCAGAUGUGAAAUCCCCGGGCUCAACCUGGGAACUGCAUCUGAUACUGGCAAGCUUGAGUCUCGUAGAGGGGGGUAGAAUUCCAGGUGUAGCGGUGAUAUGCGUAGAGAUCUGGAGGAAUACCGGUGGCGAAGGCGGCCCCCUGGACGAAGACUGACGCUCAGGUGCGAAAGCGUGGGGAGCAAACAGGAUUAGAUACCCUGGUAGUC